UUAUGUUGAAAAAGAUCGA
rnacentral:snRNA from 1 species